CUGUAGGCCACCUGAAAAUAAGUUUAAACAAGGUAAUAUGAAAUGAACCUAUAGUUUAUGGAGAAAGAAUGCAUUUAUAUUUGGCCAAGUUCACGACUCCUAACGUCUACUAAAAUUUCCUGCAAACAGAAGUCUAAUGAGGGUCUUGUCGACCAACUUGUCGAUACAGUCAAACGGAUAACGACGUGUUACAGUAUCAGCUGGUUGACAGUAUCUUUUUUCUGUACUUAAACACUUGGAAAAUAACUCGGUUAACUAGUAAAACAUGCAAAUAUGUAACAGGAAUAACUUUCACUGUUUGAAGAAAUUACCUGACACGGUUAGGCCUGCCUCAUUCUCGCUGUCCCUGUUCCUGAACACUACAGUAACCGGGCAUCUGAGAGGUCCUCGAUCCUGUCGCCAAGGAUGAUGAUAAAGACUGAGGAUCCGCCCCUUCGAGAGCAUGUCAUCAAGGUCACUUGACCAGAGGAGGAAGUGAUCCGUCCACUGCCAUCAUCACCCUGGUUUGCAAGUCAUCAGAAUGAGUUGUGCCCAGAGGGUGUCAUCCCAGUGGAACAGAGGAAUACACUUCAGUGAUGAGACACAGUCAUGCCAUGGCUGGCAUCUUCACAGUCACAUGAUGAUGUUUACACAAUAACAAUGGGCUUCUUGUGUUUUCUGAGGUGAACAUAUGGAUAUGGAUCAAAUGGUUUUAACAAAAUCUAAUUGGGUACAACACAAAGAUUGUCUGUCUUGCAAGUGUCCCCCCUUUUUAACAUGAAUGUCCAGUCAUUCAUUAAAGAUGAUAAUAAUGGGUGAAAUAUAUUUGUUCCUGAAUUUAAAUAAUGUACAAAAGCAGAAAUGGGAUUGAUGGUACCUCCACAGCCUUUACCUCUGUUACCAAAAAUAAACAAAAUGUUUUUUUCUUGCUGAUUUAACACACAUUGAGCCAUUCAGUUUCUUGUACCUGUAAUGGUUAACAGUUACAAAUGUUUUCAAUAUUCAGACUGGUCUCAAGAAUGUGAUCAUUCUGAUUAUUUCAGGGUUCUUUUAUCCAGGCCAGGUCCACACAGGAUGAACACAUCUUUUACUGUACUUUCGUUAUUGUACUGUACUUGAUCACUGAACGAUGUUCAAUCUUGUAAAAGAUACUUGUGGUAAGCCUCAUUCUUAUUGUAUAAAAUAAUAAAAGGGUGAAAUCUUAAUGCAGUAUAGAGUUUUUGUAUUUGGUAUUUGUUAAUGCUUUCAUGCAACAAUAACACAUAACAGUUGAAAUAUACUGUACCUAACAAGCAA